rnacentral:miRNA from 1 species
AAGAGCUCUUCCUGUUGUGACC